UGGAAUGAUGAUGUCCAGAAGGCGCUUAAAGAGAAGAAAGAUUGCUUCAGACGCCUAUACCUGGAUAGGAGUGCAGACAACAUAGAGAAGUACAAGAUGGCGAAGAAGGCCGCAAAGCGAGCUGUUGGUGAAGCAAGGGGUCGGGCAUAUGAGGACCUCUACCAACGGUUAGGCACGAAGGAAGGUGAAAGGGACAUCUAUAAGAUGGCUAAGAUCCGGGAGAGGAAGACGAGGGAUAUUGGCCAAGUCAAAUACAUCAAGGAUGGAGCAGGCCAACUCUUGGUGAAGGACGAAGAGAUUAAGCAUAGAUGGCGGGAGUACUUCGACAAGCUGUUCAAUGGGGAGAAUGAGAGUUCUACCAUUGAACUGAAUGACUCCUUUGAUGAGACCAGCAUGCUUUUUGUGCGGCGCAUCCAGGAGUCUGAGGUGAAGGAGGCUUUAAAAAGGAUGAAAGGAGGCAAGGCGAUGGGCCCUGAUUGUAUCCCCAUUGAGGUGUGGAAAGGUCUCGGGGACAUAGCGAUAGUAUGGCUAACCAAGCUUUUCAACCUCAUUUUUCGGGCAAACAAGAUGCCAGAAGAAUGGAGACGGAGUAUAUUAGUACCAAUCUUCAAGAACAAGGGGGAUGUUUAG
rnacentral:rRNA from 1 species